rnacentral:lncRNA from 1 species
GGUUUAACUUGUUCUCUAUUUAAAAUUUUUAAGAAAUAAGGUGAAUUUUUUUGUAAAGAACUUUAGAAAUGGGGUGGGUUUAACAAAUUAUGAGAUGGAAAUAUCUUCGUUUAUUUUUUAUAGGGAAAUUAUCAUUCGUAUACCCUAUAUUUAUUCUGUUAUUAAAAAUAUUAUAAUAUUUUGAGGGUGUAUCAAUCGUUCACCGUUAGUUGACAAAAUAUAUCAAUCGACCACCAAACCGUUAGUUGCCGUUUGAAAGUUAACAGAAUUAUAGUGAAUUGACGAUUUUAUCCUUGAAAAUUAUCACUUGUAUACCCUUAAAUUCUCUUUUUAUCACUUGUAUACCCUUAAAUCAUCACUUGUAUCAUAUGAACAUACCAAAUUACCUUUAUGACGUCAUCGUACUUAAACGGUAACUAACGGUUUGGUGGUCAGCUGAUAUAUUUUGUCAACUUAAGGUGGACGAUUGAUACACCCUCAAAAUAUUGUAGUAUUUUUUAUAAUGGAGUAAACUAGGGGUAUACAAAUGAUAAUUUUCUUUUUUAAAAUAACUAUAAAUUGAGGGUAAAUUUUGAAUAAUUCCUCUCGUGAAAAGAUAAUUUUUAAAAUUUUAUCUAAAUUAUUGUAAAUUUCAACUUUCCCGUAUUUUUAUUCAAAGAUAAGAGAGUAAUAGGGUUGGUUGAUGAAAAAUUUGUUGUCUUCUUAAUAAGAAUGAGAAUAAAUUAAAAUUUACGAAAAAUAAAAAUAUUUUAAAAAUUAUCUUUCAUGAGGGAGUCAUAUGAAAUUAAACAUAAGUCAACGAUAAGAUUGACCCAUGAAUCAACGGUAAGAUGGACCCAUAAGUCAACGAUAAGAUUGACCCAUGAAUCAACGGAAGAUUGACCCAUGAAUCAACGAUAAAAUUGACCCAUAAAUCAACGAUAAGAUUGACCCAUAAAUCAACGAUAAGAUUGAAAACAAUAUGAGACAAAAUGAUGAGUGCUUGACACAAUGAUUUAUCGCGUCAACAUCCAAUAAUUUUGAAAAAUAAUAAAUAAAUAUUUUCCACAACCAAGCAAUGACCAUCAAAGUUGCCUCAUGUCAUGGCAAGUUGCCAACUUUCCACACUUAAUCUUCUUUCUUUAAAUUAAAUAAUAAUAAUAAUAAUAAUAAUAAUAAUUCCGGUGGCCGUGAGCUUAAUCGUAGGGAAAAGUCUUUAAAAAAUCUUGAUUGCCUUUUCAAUUUUUGUUUUUUUCAACUUAAUGUUGGUCCCCAGGCAUGACGGUCCACACGCCCAAGGCAAAUGACAGUUUCUUCAUGCAUCCAAAUGACGAGAGAGUACUGAAAAUUUUGAGUUAUGCCAAAGAUUGCUUGAAAAUAUAUAAUAACAUUAUACAUUGUUUUUGUCCCGAAAGCAUAGAUAGAACAUCAGAAAAUGUAAAAAGUUUACAAACGACAAAGAAAUAAACAUAAACAUAACAUUGCUUUUUAAAAAAAAAAAUGAAAAAUUGAGGGGUGAAAUACCAACACAUCAUAAUAAAAUUAAAUAUUCCUUUAAUAGUAACUAGUUUCAACUAUAUAUUUUUUUAUAGGGGUGGGCAUUCUGCUCAAUUCGAUCAAGUCAGAACCGAAUGGUUCAGAAAAUGUGAACCGAUUGUUUUUUCGAUUUAGAACCAAAUCAAAUUGAGAAUCAAUGGAUUCACUGUAAAAAUUAAAAAUAAAAAAUUUAAUAUAUAUAUAUGCAAUAAUAUUUUUAUUAGUAUUUUUGCAUAAAACAUGAAUGAUUACUUAUAAUUGGAUUGAACUAAAAAAAAAUUAAAUUUAAGUGAAAAGUAUAAAAUUUUAGUUAAUAUAAACGAAAAAAUAUUAAAUUUUAUGAAUCGAACUAUAUAAAACUAAAUUAAGCCAAACCAAACCAAACCGAAAUAAUUCAAUUCAAUUCCUAGGUUUGGUUUGUAGUUAGUUCAUAAUUUUUUGACUCUAUUGGAAUUUGUUCGAUUCAGUUUCUCAAGAAAAGCAAACCCAAUCAGUUCAUAGUUUAUGCCCAGCACCACUACCUUUUUAUCCAACAACACCCCCCCCCCCCCCCAAAAUAGAGAUGGCAAUGGGGUGAGGUGGGAGCGGGGAGCUCUACCCAAUUUCUCACCCCAUUAAAAAUUUUCACCUCCAUUCCUCACCUCAUUUCCCAGUAAAUUUAGUGGAGUGGAGAUGGGAAAUCCUCAUGUGGAGAAUAAUUUUCUCAUCCCCACCUCAUUCUCUAGUUAUCUAUUUUAUAAUAAGUAUAGAUAUAUAAUUUAAGUAAAUU